GGGUCAGGGGGUUGGUCGUGCCACCGGUACGUACUGGUCUCACUGAUUCCUCCUUCCUGAAGAACCGUAAUGCCAUUAAUUUGGUGUUGCGGGGAAACAGGACUGUUACUUUGAAAAAAUUAGAGUGUUUAAUGCAAGCUAACGCUUGAAUACAUUAGCAUGGAAUAAUGAAAUAGGACGAUCGAUCCUAUUUUGUUGGUUUCUAGGAUUGACGUA
rnacentral:rRNA from 1 species